AUUGAACGCUGGCGGCAUGCCUUACACAUGCAAGUCGAACGGCAGCACGGGAGCAAUCCUGGUGGCGAGGUGGCGAACGGGGUGAGGUAAUAUAUCGGAACGUGGCCCAGUCGUGGGGGAUAACGUAGCGAAAGCUACGCUAAUACCGCAUACGAUCUAUGGAUGAAAGCGGGGGAUCGCAAGACCUCGCGCGAUUGGAGCGGCCGAUAUCAGAUUAGGUAGUUGGUGGGGUAAAAGCCUACCAAGCCUUCGAUCUGUAGCUGGUCUGAGAGGACGACCAGCCACACUGGAACUGAGACACGGUCCAGACUCCUACGGGAGGCAGCAGUGGGGAAUUUUUGGACAAUGGGCGCAAGCCUGAUCCAGCAAUGCCGCGUGCGGGAUGAAGGCC
rnacentral:rRNA from 1 species